GAUGAACGCUGGCGGCGUGCCUAAUACAUGCAAGUCGAGCGAACAGACGAGGAGCUUGCUCCUCUGACGUUAGCGGCGGACGGGUGAGUAACACGUGGAUAACCUACCUAUAAGACCGGGAUAACUUCGGGAAACCGGAGCUAAUACCGGAUAAUAUAUUGAACCGCAUGGUUCAAUAGUGAAAGACGGUUUUGCUGUCACUUAUAGAUGGAUCCGCGCCGCAUUAGCUAGUUGGUAAGGUAACGGCUUACCAAGGCAACGAUGCGUAGCCGACCUGAGAGGGUGAUCGGCCACACUGGAACUGAGACACGGUCCAGACUCCUACGGGAGGCAGCAGUAGGGAAUCUUCCGCAAUGGGCGAAAGCCUGACGGAGCAACGCCGCGUGAGUGAUGAAGGUCUUCGGAUCGUAAAACUCUGUUAUUAGGGAAGAGCAAAUGUGUAAGUAACUAUGCACGUCUUGACGGUACCUAAUCAGAAAGCCACGGCUAACUACGUG
rnacentral:rRNA from 1 species